GGGUGGUUGGCGCAAUGGUAGCGCGGUACGUCUCAACGAUCGCCUGCUCUCAAAAAUCUUUGACUGACUGUUAACAGUUGGUUUUCGGCAACGAAAUACACCAAAGGUUGAGGGUUCGAGCCCCUUGCUGCUCG